ensembl:lncRNA
AUGAGGGUUAUCUGCCAAAGAAGCACCUGGGUUUACUCAGGCCAGGUGGAGCCAAUCUUCACAGCCCCUCCUGCCCCACCUGGAUCCCUGUUCCCCACCUCCAGGCCCUGCUCUCCACCCAAGUUUUCCAUGGCAGUGUGGCAAAGAGGUGACAGCAGCAGAGACGAGCACGUACAAAACCUGAGGGCACCUCUCUGGGUAACCCUCUCCCAGGAGAGCUCUGGGGGGGUUUCCAGCACUCCAACCCCAGCACACCCUGCUCCCUCAGGGAUGGCACUGCAGCCAGGAUGGGCACACAGAGCCCUCCAGCCCUCCUGUCCCAGCCUGGAGGCAGAGCUGGCCAUGACCCAGCCUCCCCAUCCCAGCCCCUUCCCUUGUGCGAGGCCGGUGGGGAAAAGCCUCCCGUGCCCGCCCCCGCCUCCCCCAGCUUAUCAAAUUUGGCCAUGUCUGAAAAGGCCUGGUUUCCUUUUCACCAAAAAAGAUCAAAACUGGGUAAUUGGCUGCCGGCAUAGAUGCCUCUGUGCCUCUCUCAUGUGUAAACAGCAUUGCCGAGCGCUGACACAACGCAGGCGGCCGCGGCACACGCAGGCGCCCCGGGGCUGCCACCGGCCCUUCUGGGGGUCCCACAACGGGGUGAAGUUGCUGGGUGCAGGCAGGGGUUGGCUCAGCAGCCCAGAAAAUGCUGGUGGCCAAAGGCCGGGUGCUGCCGUACACCUGAAGCAUGGGCAGGUGGUUGCAGGGCUCCUCUGGCAGGUCCUGAGGACACAGCCACGCCUGCUCCUCCUGGGAGCUCCUGCUCCGCCAGCCCAGCAGCCGCGUCCCUCCUGGCCGUGUCUGGGCUGUGACCAUGCCGGUGACACCAGCAGAGCCCAAACCCCCUCCCCAGAGCAUGUUGUUGCCAAGAGAGCCCCUCGGGGCUGCCUGGUCUGGAGGGGACCCGCCGCUGACCACAGUCGCCACCGCCAGCGGAGCCAGCGCCCAGGGCGGCGACGGGUGGCCGAGUCCCAGACCACGCUGGCCCCCUGCCCUGUCUGCUCCGAGGCUCCCUGGCACCUUGGGGACCGGACACACCUCCGGCGGGGCACAGCCAGGGGCUGGGGCUUUCCCUUUUUAGCUGCCCGGUUUGCAGGGACCGGCCACACUGCAGGACAGCAGCCGGCACCCCUCCGCGGCCAUGGAGCGGGCUCCAAACCUGGUAGGUGCCUCCCCGGCGGCUCAGGGCUUGCUCCUCGUUUUCUUUCUCGAACAGAAUUAUUUGCACGCUUGUUUACCUGGGAUUGUUUGCUUUGGAGGUGCCCUCUGUGGCCUGCCAGGGCCAUCGCUGCCACGCCUGGCACGGCGAGGAUGCAGCAGCCUGGGAGAGCAACGCCACGCCAGUCCGGCCGGACAGUCCGGCACCGGCCGGGGAGAACAGCCCUGGCCGAGCGGUCCCUGCCCCAGAGCACUGCACACCCACGGGCAGGGUGUGGGGCUGCCUGGGCCGCUGCAGGGACACGAAUAGCAGGGAGCAGGACUACAGAAAGCAACUUUGUUCCCUGCUGGGCAGCCUGCCGGGUGGCAGCUCACGGCAGCUGGGCCCGGCGAGGCCGGAGGGAGAAGGGAAGGAAAAAGCAUCUUUUCUCUCUCACCGUCCUCAGAGCACAGAGGGAGGGAGAGGAGGGUUUGGAUAAAGAUUCCAUUCUUGACUGUCUCAUCUCUGUAAGGCUCCUUUUAAACCAGAGGCUGCCCAGGUACAGCCUGAGCUGGGUCCCUCCCAGCACGCAGCUGCCUCGGGGUGGGCAGGGAGGGGACUGGGCACAGCUCGGGCAGCACAGGCAGGGGCACUUUGGGCAACACAAAUUGCCAGCUGCGAGCAGGGCAAGGGGCAGCCACACACCUCAGCUCACCGUGACCAUGUGCCCACCAUCCCUGCAAACUGCCCUCAGGUGCUUCUCACCUGCAGGCCAGCGCUGCCUUUGGGCACUGAAUGUGCCACCCCAAAGUCAGUGUGGUCCUGCCACCACCUGGUGA